rnacentral:rRNA from 1 species
UACGGAGGGGGCUAGCGUUGUUCGGAAUUACUGGGCGUAAAGCGCACGUAGGCGGCUUUGUAAGUUAGAGGUGAAAGCCCGGGGCUCAACUCCGGAAUUGCCUUUAAGACUGCAUCGCUAGAAUUGUGGAGAGGUAAGUGGAAUUCCGAGUGUAGAGGAUAGAAAUUCGUAGAUAGUUCGGAAGAACACCAGUGGCGAAGGCGACUUACUGGACACAUAUUGACGCUGAGGUGCGAAAGCGUGGGGAGCAAACAGG